rnacentral:lncRNA from 1 species
GAGGCUUUCUGAAGAGCGGUGCUCAGGAGCUGUGAUGGUGCUGCAGGCUGUGGGAAAGCAUUAGAUCAGCGGAAUAUUUCCUCUCUGGUUUUUUUCCCUUUCAGCUGGUGGGCUUUCCCCCUGAAGUAACUAGCAUUUAAACAAGGCUCCUUGGUUAGUAACGGCAUCACAGCGGGGCUGGCAGCACCCGUGGGUGGAGAAGUCUGGGUGAAAGGGAAAGAGAGGAAGAAUCUCUGGGAAGAGAGAGGAGAAGGCCUAGGAAUAAAUAGCCCAAAAACCGCCUCUCGCUCUUCCAAGCCGCUCCGGUCUGAGAGCCACGCCCUCAAACAAUGGACUAUUGAGGUAGUUUGCCCACCGCCUGACAAGUGGGUGAGUGAGGAAAAGAUAACAAACGUGAGACCAGAAACAGUUCAUAGCUUUACCUGCUCAGUGACUUCAAAGAGGGCUCUGCCUGGGUGGGGCCAGGAGCCUCAUCCUGAGUUCCCACUGGCAUGGGGAAACUCACACAUUGUGCCUUUGUAGAGGUCUCUACUGUUUUUAUCUCAGUAUAACUUUUUGGAGAAAAUCGAGCUUGGCCAGAGGAGUCCCUAUCGGCUCUCUUGACCUUUCAAACAUGUCUUCCAUGACCUUUAACUAAGCAUUCACAAAAAUAUGUUUACCAUCUUUCCUUCUUACAGUGUGACCUGAAGCUGAGCAUGCUCAGAAAAGAGCUCAUUAAUUGAGCACACUCGGGGUGCUCACGAGGCAUCUUUUUUCUUUUUUUCUUUUUUUUUUUCUUUCUUUUUUUUUUUUUUUUUUUUUUUGAGACAGCGUCUCUUUUCAUAGUCCUGUCUCAGAACUCACUAGGGAGACCAGGCUGGCCUUGAACUCAGAGAUCCACCUGCCUCUGCCUCCAAAGUGGUGGGAGUAAAGGCAUGCGCCACCACUGGCCAACUAUAAGGCUCCUUUUUAGGAACACACAUGGACCUCCUGAAUAAAAGAACCCAUUCCCUUUGUCAGGGGUGGGAGUGAGCAUUGUCUUGAAAUAAUAUGCACGCUUCUCUUAAAUGUAGGAAGUAAUAAGUCUCCUCUUCAUUUCUCAGCCCUGUUUGGCUUGAGCUUUUUGUCACCAACAGAUAAACCCAUUCCAUUCCGUUACAAUUGGGAGAUAGAGCAGUGAGUGGCAGCCAUUCACCAAGAAAGGAAAAGCUCUCAGAUGGAACAGCUGCUACAAGGCUCAGGUCUCACACAUCCGUGAGGUCAUUAGCCAGGUUUACAGGGGAUAAACCAGGAAGUGAACUGUGGUCUAUUCAUGAUCACGGUCUGUGUAUCCCCUGAGAAGGAAGGGUAACAGCAAGCUGUUCUUUCGGCUUAAGAUGUGAGUGAUGGGGACGUAAGAAGAAGUAUUAACCACUUAUUAAGUUUCUCCGUCACACAUGGCAUUUUCAUCCAAUGAAAUCAUCUAACAACAUUAAACAAAGUAAUGCCCCUGUGAGUAAGCAUGAGUACUGAUCACAUAUUCCAGCCUGUCUUUCUGGCUUAUUUUAUUUUUGCUUUGUGUUUUGGUUUUUGUUCUAUUCAAGACAGGUACUUGCUGUGCAGCCUGUCCUAAACUAGAGAUCCUCCUGCCUUGGCUUCAUUGAUGUGUGUUAACACAUUUGUCUUUAGGACUUACCUCUUUUUAAAUGUAUGUGUAUAUAUGUGUAGCUUCCCCAGUCUUGAGCAGGCUGGCUCAGACCUGUUCUGCCGCUAUGAGCUAGCCCACCUGGGGUGGAGUCUUCCGACCUAGAUAGGUCUAUUGUUCUGCCACCUCGCUGAGAGGCUGGACCUGCUUUCUGAAGCAUCUUGAAUAAGC